rnacentral:rRNA from 1 species
GAUGAACGCUGGCGGCGUGCCUAAUACAUGCAAGUCGGGCGAACGGAUUAAGAGCUUGCUCUUAUGAAGUUAGAGGCGGACGGGUGAGUAACACGUGGGUAACCUGCCCAUAAGACUGGGAUAACUCCGGGAAACCGCGGCUACUACCGGAUAACAUCUUGAACCGCAUGGUUCGAAAGUGAAAGGUGGCUUCGGCUGUUAACUAAGGAUGGACCCGCGUCACAUUAGCUAGUUGCUGAGGUAACGGCUCACCAACGCAACGAUGCGUAGCCGACGUGUAAGGAUGAUCGGCCACAAUGUGACUGUGAAACGGCCCAGACUCCUACGGGAGGCAGCAGUAGGGAAUCUUCCGCAAUGGACGAAAGUCUGACGGAGCAACGCCGCGUGAGUGAUGAAGGCUUUCGGGUCGUAAAACUCUGUUGUUAGGGAAGAACAAGUGCUAGUUGAAUAAGCUGGCACCUUGACGGUACCUAACCAGAAAGCCACGGCUAACUACGUGCCAGCCGCCGCGGUAA